AUUGAACGCUGGCGGCAUGCCUUACACAUGCAAGUCGAACGGCAGCGGACCUUCGGGUGCCGGCGAGUGGCGAACGGGUGAGUAAAGUAUCGGAACGUACCUUUCAGUGGGGGAUAACUGUCCGAAAGGACAGCUAAUACCGCAUAUUCUGUGAGCAGGAAAGCAGGGGAUCGCAAGACCUUGCGCUGAUUGAGCGGCCGAUAUCAGAUUAGCUAGUUGGUGAGGUAAAGGCUCACCAAGGCGACGAUCUGUAGCGGGUCUGAGAGGAUGAUCCGCCACACUGGAACUGAGACACGGUCCAGACUCCUACGGGAGGCAGCAGUGGGGAAUUUUGGGACAAUGGGGGCAACCCUGAUCCAGCCAUGCCGCGUGAGUGAAGAAGGUCUUCGGGUUGUAAAGCUCUUUCGGCCGGGAAGAAAUCGCACAGGAUAAUACCCUGUGUGGAUGACGGUACCGGAAUAAGAAGCACCGGCUAACUACGUGCCAGCA
rnacentral:rRNA from 1 species